UUAAUUGGGCGUUAAGUUGCAGGGUAUAGACCCGAAACCCGGUGAUCUAGCCAUGGGCAGGUUGAAGGUUGGGUAACACUAACUGGAGGACCGAACCGACUAAUGUUGAAAAAUUAGCGGAUGACCUGUGGCUGGGGGUGAAAGGCCAAUCAAACCGGGAGAUAGCUGGUUCUCCCCGAAAGCUAUUUAGGUAGCGCCUCGUGAAUUCAUCUCCGGGGGUAGAGCACUGUUUCGGCUAGGGGGCCAUCCCGGCUUACCAACCCGAUGCAAACUGCGAAUACCGGAGAAUGUUAUCACGGGAGACACACGGCGGGUGCUAACGUCCGUCGUGAAGAGGGAAACAACCCAGACCGCCAGCUAAGGUCCCAAAGUCAUGGUUAAGUGGGAAACGAUGUGGGAAGGCCCAGACAGCCAGGAUGUUGGCUUAGAAGCAGCCAUCAUUUAAAGAAAGCGUAAUAGCUCACUGGUCGAGUCGGCCUGCGCGGAAGAUGUAACGGGGCUAAACCAUGCACCGAAGCUGCGGCAGCGAACGUAUCACCCAAGACAACUUUACGGAGUUGACGAUUGACGGAGCGAAGCGACGUCAAAGCGUUCAUUAAAGUCGAGUUGGCUUAGGGAUACGUUCGUUGGGUAGGGGAGCGUUCUGUAAGCCUGUGAAGGUGUGUCGUGAGGCAUGCUGGAGGUAUCAGAAGUGCGAAUGCUGACAUAAGUAACGAUAAAGCGGGUGAAAAGCCCGCUCGCCGGAAGACCAAGGGUUCCUGUCCAACGUUAAUCGGGGCAGGGUGAGUCGACCCCUAAGGCGAGGCCGAAAGGCGUAGUCGAUGGGAAACGGGUUAAUAUUCCCGUACUUGGUGUUACUGCGAAGGGGGGACGGAGAAGGCUAUGUUGGCCGGGCGACGGUUGUCCCGGUUUAAGCGUGUAGGUGUGUGUUCCAGGUAAAUCCGGUU
rnacentral:rRNA from 1 species